rnacentral:tRNA from 1 species
GGUAGGUUGGCCGAGUGGUAAGGCGCCUGUCCUGAAAACAGGUGAACGCGAGAGCGUGCGUGGGUUCGAGUCCUACACCUACCG